AAUCUUCGGACUUAGUGGCGCACGGGUGCGUAACGCGUGGGAAUCUACCCUUAGGUUCGGAAUAACUCAGAGAAAUUUGAGCUAAUACCGGAUAAUGUCUUCGGACCAAAGAUUUAUCGCCUUUGGAUGAGCCCGCGUUAGAUUAGGUAGUUGGUAGGGUAAAAGCCUACCAAGCCGACGAUCUAUAGCUGGUCUGAGAGGAUGAUCAGCCACACUGGGACUGAGACACGGCCCAGACUCCUACGGGAGGCAGCAGUGGGGAAUAUUGGACAAUGGGCGAAAGCCUGAUCCAGCAAUGCCGCGUGAGUGAUGAAGGCCUUAGGGUCGUAAAGCUCUUUUACCAGGGAUGAUAAUGACAGUACCUGGAGAAUAAGCUCCGGCUAACUCCGUGCCAGCAGCCGCGGUAAUACGGAGGGAGCUAGCGUUGUUCGGAAUUACUGGGCGUAAAGCGCGCGUAGGCGGCUUGCCAAGUCAGGGGUGAAAUCCCGGGGCUCAAC
rnacentral:rRNA from 1 species